rnacentral:rRNA from 1 species
UACGUAGGGCGCAAGCGUUGUCCGGAUUCACUGGGUGUAAAGGGUGCGUAGGCGGGAGAGUAAGUCCGCGGUGAAAUCUCACAGCUCAACUGUGAAACUGCCGUUGAUACUGCUUUUCUUGAGUUCGGGAGAGGUUGAUGGAAUUCCAGGUGUAGCGGUGAAAUGCGUAGAUAUCUGGAAGAACACCAGUGGCGAAGGCGGUCAACUGGCCCGUAACUGACGCUGAGGCACGAAAGCGUGGGUAGCGAACAGG